rnacentral:rRNA from 1 species
UACGUAGGGGGCAAGCGUUAUCCGGAAUUAUUGGGCGUAAAGCGCGCGUAGGCGGUUGUUUAAGUCUGAUGUGAAAGCCCAGGGCUCAACCCCGGACGGGCAUUUGAAACUGGAAAACUAGAGUGCAGGAGAGGAGAGUGGAAUUCCAUGUGUAGCGGUGAAAUGCGUAGAGAUACGGAGGAACACCAGUGGCGAAGGCGACUUUCUGGACUGUAACUGACGCUGAUGUGCGAAAGCGUGGGGAUCAAACAGG